GGCGCCGUGGUCGAGUGGCUAGGCAGCGGCCUGCAAAGCCGUGUACACCGGUUCGAUUCCGGUCGGCGCCU
rnacentral:tRNA from 2 species